rnacentral:rRNA from 1 species
AUUGAACGCUGGCGGCAGGCCUAACACAUGCAAGUCGAGCGGAUGAAGGGAGCUUGCUCCUGGAUUCAGCGGCGGACGGGUGAGUAAUGCCUAGGAAUCUGCCUGGUAGUGGGGGAUAACGUCCGGAAACGGGCGCUAAUACCGCAUACGUCCUGAGGGUGAAAGUGGGGGAUCUUCGGACCUCACGCUAUCAGAUGAGCCUAGGUCGGAUUAGCUAGUUGGUGGGGUAAAGGCCUACCAAGGCGACGAUCCGUAACUGGUCUGAGAGGAUGAUCAGUCACACUGGAACUGAGACACGGUCCAGACUCCUAAGGGAGGCAGCAGUGGGGAAUAGUGGACAAUGGGCGGAAGCCUGAUCCAGCCAUGCCGCGUGUGUGAAGAAGGUCUUCGGAUUGUAAAGCACUUUAAGUUGGGAGGAAGGGCAGUAAGUUAAUACCUUGCUGUUUUGACGUUACCAACAGAAUAAGCACCGGCUAACUUCGUG